CAUUCGAUAUGUGGCAAAACAUCCGAGCUAAAUCAUUUUCCCUGGCCGCUAGAUAUUUUUUAAAACGAGUAAGCAGCGAUUUGAAUCCUUGACCGGCGCCGUUGGACAAUUAGGUACGCUCGGCUGAACACGGGAGCGAAGCAAACAACUUAUAGCGCGAGGCUGUCACCGGCGCAUUCGAUACGGAUUUCAUAAGUUUUCGUGGUCUAAAAUUCAGAACUAUCUCCUCAGAACGUCACCCCAGUCUUCCUCACACGCUUGUACACGUCUCCCCAGUCUUCCUCACACGCUUGUACACGUCUCCCCAGUCUUCCUCACACGCUUGUACACGUCUCUCCACUCUUAUCCUCACACGCUUGUACACGUCUCUCCACUCUUCCUCACACGCUUGUACAGGUUUUUCAGUCUUCCUAACCCUUGUACAGGUUUUUCAGUCUUCCUCACACGCUUGUACACGUCUCUCCACUCUUCCUCACACGCUUGUACAGGUUUUUCAGUCUUCCUCACACGCUUGUACAGGUUUUUCAGUCUUCCUCACACGCUUGUACAGGUAACCGGCUAGGCUUACGCGCGCGCUUAAUUUGAGUCAGCUACAUGGGCGCUUUUAU